GAUGAACGCUAGCGGCAGGCUUAAUACAUGCAAGUUGAGGGGCAGCAUGAUAUACGCGAGUAUAUUGAUGGCGACCGGCGGACGGGUGAGUAAUAGGUAGGAGACCUACCUCAUACAGGGGGAUAGCAUAGAGAAAUCUGUGGUAAUACCCCAUGAGGUUAUAUGAAUAGAGGCAUAUAAUCAAAGCAUAAGCGAUUAUGCGGUAUGAGAGGGGCCUACUGACCAUUAGCUAGUUGGUGAGGUAAGGGCUCACCAAGGCGAAGAUGGUUAGGGGUUUUGAGAGAGAGACCCCCCACAUUGGAACUGAGAGACGGUCCAGACUCCUACGGGAGGCAGCAGUAGGGAAUAUUGGGCAAUGGGCGAAAGCCUGACCCAGCCAUGCCGCGUGAAGGAAGACGGCCUUACGGGUUGUAAACUUCUUUACUACGCGAAUAGAGGUUAGUACGAGAUACUAAUAGGAAGGUAGUGUAGUAAAAAGCACCGGCUAACUCCGUG
rnacentral:rRNA from 1 species